CCUACGGGUGGCAGCAGUGAGGAAUAUUGCUCAAUGGACGAGACUCUGAACCAGCCACGUAGCGUGAAGGAUGAAUGCCCUAUGGGUUGUAAACUUCAUUUAUAUGGGAAUAAAAUGUUCCACGUGACGGAUUUUGUAUGUACCAUAUGAAUCAGGAUCGGCUAACUCCGUGCCAGAAGCCGCGGUAAUACGGAGGAUCCGGGCGUUAGCCGGAUUUAUUGGGUUAAAAGGGAGCGUAGGCAGGCUUCCAAGUCAGCUGUGAAAGUCCGGGGCUCAACCGUGGAAUUGCAGUUGAAACUGGGGAGCUUGAGUGCACGCAGGGAUGCCGGAAUUCAUGGUGUAGCGGUGAAAUGCUUAGAUAUCAUGAAGAACUCCAAUGGCGAAGGCAAGUGUCCGGGGUGCAACUGACGCUGAGGCUCGAAAGUGCGGGUAUCAAACAGGAUUAGAUACCCCUGUAGUC
rnacentral:rRNA from 1 species